rnacentral:rRNA from 1 species
CAGUAGCCGCGGUAAUACGUAGGUGGCAAGCGUUGUCCGGAAUUAUUGGGCGUAAAGGGCUCGCAGGCGGUUUCUUAAGUCUGAUGUGAAAGCCCCCGGCUCAACCGGGGAGGGUCAUUGGAAACUGGGAAACUUGAGUGCAGAAGAGGAGAGUGGAACUCCACGUGUAGCGGUGAAAUGCGUAGAGAUGUGGAGGAACACCAGUGGCGAAGGCGACUCUCUGGUCUGUAACUGACGCUGAGGAGCGAAAGCGUGGGGGGCGAGCAGGAUUAGAUACCCCUGUAGUCCCUGUCUCUUAUAC